GCUUUGCUAUCUCAAUCGGUAGAGCGUAAGACUCUUACAUUCACUCCUCACAGGCUAGAGCGUCAGAUAAUAACCUCAAGGUUGGGGGUUCGACCCCCCCCCCUUAGAGCU